GACGAACGCUGGCGGCGUGCUUAACACAUGCAAGUCGAACGGAGUACCCUCGAAAGAGAUUUCGGUCAAUGGAGAGGACUACUUAGUGGCGGACGGGUGAGUAACGCGUGAGGAACCUGCCUUUCAGAGGGGGACAACAGUUGGAAACGACUGCUAAUACCGCAUAACGUACGGGUAUCGCAUGGUACUGGUACCAAAGAUUUAUCGCUGAGAGAUGGCCUCGCGUCUGAUUAGCUAGUUGGUAGGGUAACGGCCUACCAAGGCGACGAUCAGUAGCCGGACUGAGAGGUUGGCCGGCCACAUUGGGACUGAGAUACGGCCCAG
rnacentral:rRNA from 1 species